rnacentral:rRNA from 2 species
UACGGAGGGUGCAAGCGUUAUCCGGAUUCACUGGGUUUAAAGGGUGCGUAGGUGGACUGGUAAGUCCGUGGUGAAAUCCCCAAGCUUAACUUGGGAACUGCCGUGGAUACUAUCAGUCUUGAAUACUGUGGAGGUAAGCGGAAUAUGUCAUGUAGCGGUGAAAUGCUUAGAUAUGACAUAGAACACCGAUAGCGAAGGCAGCUUGCUACACAGUCAUUGACACUGAGGCACGAAAGCGUGGGGAGCAAACAGG